CAGAUAUCAGGAGGAACACCGAUGGCGAAGGCAGGUCUGUGGGCAUUAACUGACGCUGAGGAGCGAAAGCAUGGGGAGCGAACAGGAUUAGAUACCCUGGUAGUCCAUGCCGUAAACGUUGGGCACUAGGUGUGGGGGACAUUCCACGUUUUCCGCGCCGUAGCUAACGCAUUAAGUGCCCCGCCUGGGGAGUACGGCCGCAAGGCUAAAACUCAAAGGAAUUGACGGGGGCCCGCACAAGCGGCGGAGCAUGCGGAUUAAUUCGAUGCAACGCGAAGAACCUUACCAAGGCUUGACAUGAACCGGUAAUACCUGGAAACAGGUGCCCCGCUUGCGGUCGGUUUACAGGUGGUGCAUGGUUGUCGUCAGCUCGUGUCGUGAGAUGUUGGGUUAAGUCCCGCAACGAGCGCAACCCUCGUUCUAUGUUGCCAGCGCGUUAUGGCGGGGACUCAUAGGAGACUGCCGGGGUCAACUCGGAGGAAGGUGGGGACGACGUCAAAUCAUCAUGCCCCUUAUGUCUUGGGCUUCACGCAUGCUACAAUGGCCGGUACAAAGGGUUGCGAUACUGUGAGGUGGAGCUAAUCCCAAAAAGCCGGUCUCAGUUCGGAUUGGGGUCUGCAACUCGACCCCAUGAAGUCGGAGUCGCUAGUAAUCGCAGAUCAGCAACGCUGCGGUGAAUACGUUCCCGGGCCUUGUACACACCGCCCGUCAAGUCACGAAAGUUGGUAACACCCGAAGCCGGUGGCCUAACCCCUGUGGGAGGGAGCUUU
rnacentral:rRNA from 1 species